rnacentral:rRNA from 1 species
UUGACCUCAAAUCAGGUAGGACUACCCGCUGAACUUAAGCAUAUCAAUAAGCGGAGGAAAAGAAACUAACAAGGAUUCCCCUAGUAACUGCGAGUGAAGCGGGAAAAGCUCAAAUUUAAAAUCUGGCAGUCUUUGGCUGUCCGAGUUGUAAUCUAGAGAAGUGUUGCCCACGCUGGACCGUGUAUAAGUCUUCUGGAAUGAAGCGUCAUAGAGGGUGAGAAUCCCGUCUUUGACAUGGACUCCCAGUGUAUUGUGGCGUGCUCUCAAAGAGUCGAGUUGUUUGGGAAUGCAGCUCUAAAUGGGUGGUAACCUCCAUCUAAAGCUAAAUAUUGGCAAGAGACCGAUA